ACAGGGAGGACGGCAAGUGCGUGCCAUUCGUGGACGGUUCGGUUUAGUUGAGCCAAAGGCUUUCACCAGUUAAUAGCACGAAAUUGUGUCUCCCCCAAAAAAGAAAUCAAAGCAAAACCAAUCAAUAUGAGCGAAGCAAAGAACCUCAUGACCACCUUCGGCAUCCUGGCCUUCCUGCUCUUCUGCCUGUACCUUAUCUAUGCAGUAUUGUAGACUCACAGGGCCCACUAGAAGGUCCUUAGAGCAGGAAUAUGGGCAACCAACAACAACAACAACCCAAUCAAAAUGAAUGAGGCCAGAAGUUUGUUCACCACCUUCCUGAUCCUGGCCUUUCUGCUGUUCCUGCUCUAUGCCUUCUACGAAGCGGCAUUCUAAACAACCCACCUCACCCAUCAACCCAAUCAAUCAUCAGUAAAUCAAGGAUAGCUUACAUGUUGAAUUUCAAUUCCAAGCCUAAACAAUGAACAACUUGUGGCCUAGGAGGAGCUUUAGGACCUUACGCGUUUAAGAUGUUAGCAUUUAAUGGAUUUCUACUAGUAACCUAAGCCAGAUGACGUCAAAGCCACCAGCUGCCCCAUGUCAGGCCCCUCGAUUAGUUUAGCACAGUUCUCAGGGGGCUCGCCAGCAUCAGCAUUAUCAUUAUGAUGAUGUAUGGUCCACCCAUGCUGAGAGAGCUGCUCUAGAUUUGUUCCAACUCCGAGGUGGUGCAAGAUCGUUCCAUCCUCAAGGCUCUGGCGGCCACGGCGUCAUUUGUUCUAAUCAUAAAUUUUCUUUUAUGAUUUCUUUUUCGUUUACGUUUUGCAAUGAAAUUGACUUAAUUUACAAUUUAUAGACCAUGAUGUACAGUAAAUGCCAACGACAACAGCAACAGCAGCAAGAACAACAGCAACAGCCAUCAAUAAGAACAUUCAAGAAUUUUGUUAUAAUUUCAUUGCUAAGCCACAAAUUUAUUUUGCAUUCGUAUUUAGUAAGACUUACAUAAUUGUAUAACUGCAUUUUACUGGACUUUGAUUUAAUUUAUUGUCAAUAACAAACACAUGCAACAAAACAACAACAGCAAC